GCUACCGUAGCGCAGUGUACAGCGCGUCAGUCUCAUAAUCUGAAGGUCGUCAGUUCGAGCAUCACCGGGAGCA
rnacentral:tRNA from 1 species